AUUGAACGCUGGCGGAAUGCUUUACACAUGCAAGUCGAACGGCAGCACGGGGGCAGCCCUGGUGGCGAGUGGCGAACGGGUGAGUAAUACAUCGGAACGUGCCCGGUCGUGGGGGAUAACGUAGCGAAAGUUACGCUAAUACCGCAUACGAUCUGAGGAUGAAAGCGGGGGACCUUCGGGCCUCGCGCGAUCGGAGCGGCCGAUGUCAGAUUAGGUAGUUGGUGGAGUAAAGGCCUACCAAGCCGACGAUCUGUAGCUGGUCUGAGAGGACGACCAGCCACACUGGGACUGAGACACGGCCCAGACUCCUACGGGAGGCAGCAGUGGGGAAUUUUGGACAAUGGGCGCAAGCCUGAUCCAGCCAUUCCGCGUGCAGGACGAAGGCCUUCGGGUUGUAAACUGCUUCUGUACGGAACGAAAAGGCUCUGGCUAAUACCUGGGGCUCAUGACGGUACCGUAAGAAUAAGCACCGGCUAACUACGUG
rnacentral:rRNA from 1 species